AGGGGGACCUUCGGGCCUCUUGCCAUCGGAUGUGCCCAGAUGGGAUUAGCUUGUUGGUGGGGUAACGGCUCACCAAGGCGACGAUCCCUAGCUGGUCUGAGAGGAUGACCAGCCACACUGGAACUGAGACACGGUCCAGACUCCUACGGGAGGCAGCAGUGGGGAAUAUUGCACAAUGGGCGCAAGCCUGAUGCAGCCAUGCCGCGUGUAUGAAGAAGGCCUUCGGGUUGUAAAGUACUUUCAGCGGGGAGGAAGGGAGUAAAGUUAAUACCUUUGCUCAUUGACGUUAUCCGCAGAAGAAGCACCGGCUAACUCCGUGCCAGCAGCCGCGGUAAUACGGAGGGUGCAAGCGUUAAUCGGAAUUACUGGGCGUAAAGCGCACGCAGGCGGUUUGUUAAGUCAGAUGUGAAAUCCCCGGGCUCAACCUGGGAACUGCAUCUGAUACUGGCAAGCUUGAGUCUCGUAGAGGGGGGUAGAAUUCCAGGUGUAGCGGUGAAAUGCGUAGAGAUCUGGAGGAAUACCGGUGGCGAAGGCGGCCCCCUGGACGAAGACUGACGCUCAGGUGCGAAAGCGUGGGGAGCAAACAGGAUUAGAUACCCUGGUAGUCCACGCCGUAAACGAUGUCGACUUGGAGGUUGUGCCCUUGAGGCGUGGCUUCCGGAGCUAACGCGUUAAGUCGACCGCCUGGGGAGUACGGCCGCAAGGUUAAAACUCAAAUGAAUUGACGGGGGCCCGCACAAGCGGUGGAGCAUGUGGUUUAAUUCGAUGCAACGCGAAGAACCUUACCUGGUCUUGACAUCCACGGAAGUUUUCAGAGAUGAGAAUGUGCCUUCGGGAACCGUGAGACAGGUGCUGCAUGGCUGUCGUCAGCUCGUGUUGUGAAAUGUUGGGUUAAGUCCCGCAACGAGCGCAACCCUUAUCCUUUGUUGCCAGCGGUCCGGCCGGGAACUCAAAGGAGACUGCCAGUGAUAAACUGGAGGAAGGUGGGGACGACGUCAAGUCAUCAUGGCCCUUACGACCAGGGCUACACACGUGCUACAAUGGCGCAUACAAAGAGAAGCGACCUCGCGAGAGCAAGCGGACCUCAUAAAGUGCGUCGUAGUCCGGAUUGGAGUCUGCAACUCGACUCCAUGAAGUCGGAAUCGCUAGUAAUCGUGGAUCAGAAUGCCACGGUGAAUACGUUCCCGGGCCUUGUACACACCGCCCGUCACACCAUGGGAGUGGGUUGCAAAAGAAGUAGGUAGCUUAACCUUCGGGAGGGCGCUUACCACUUUGUGAUUCAUGACUGGGGUGAAGUCGUAACAAGGUAACCGUAGGGGAACCUGCGGUUGGAUCACCUCCUUACCUUAAAGAAGC
rnacentral:rRNA from 1 species